rnacentral:lncRNA from 1 species
AGGGCGCAGCAGCUGCUCCCUGAACACUUUCUGACCCAACAGUCCCCCAGCGCCGGACGCGCCGCGCCCUGGCGGCUCUAGGGACCCCCCCCGCGCCUGCACUUAGCCCCGCGCCCGAGUCCACAGACAAACGAAUUUAAAGGAGCAACCGAGGAGGCACCUGCGAAAGAAAGCCCACACACAGGUGAAUUUAAAGGAGCAGCCCUGGUGUCACCUAUCAGUAAAAGAAUGUUAGAACGACUUUCCAAGUUUGAAGUUGGAGAUGCUGAAAAUGUUGCUUCAUAUGAACUAUUUGGAGUUUUCCUCGUCUUACUGGAUGUCACUCUCGUCCUUGCCGACCUAAUUUUCACUGACAGCAAACUUUAUAUUCCUUUGGAGUAUCGUUCUAUUUCUCUAGCUAUUGCCUUAUUUUUUCUCAUGGAUGUUCUUCUUCGAGUAUUUGUAGAAGGAGACUGUACUGGUCAGAGAAAGACAUCAGCAGGAGAGCCAGAGAUUCCUCCUCCUCUCCAUCAUCACCAUCACCAUUAUUCUCAUCACCAUCACCGUCACCGUCAUCAUCAUCAUCACCAUCAUGGACUUCAAAGAAGUUCAAAGAAUUUCCUCCUCUGGCCAGAGUGAAUCCUGUUCUGUGGAAGCAGGAGGCUGGGUGGGAAGCCCUGUGGAGGCUCCACCCGUGUUUGGGUUCUGGGCAGGGAUCUGGGGACAGGGGAGGCCUAAUGCUUAUUGCAGAAAUUCUCUGCCUGGGAAGUCAGGAUCACUCCUUGGAGGAGGCAGCCUGUCCUCUGAGCUUUCAGGAAAGGAACUGGUUGUGUGGUUCCCUGUAAGCUCUGGAGAUGGGGCGGGCAGUAGGGGGAGGAGCACAGCAGUGUGGAUGUAUUAAUACUUAGUGCUGGCCGGGUGCGGUGGCUUACGCCUGUAAUUCCAGCAGUUUAGGAGGCCAAGGCAGGCAGAUCACCUGAGGUCAGGAGUUCAACACCAGCUGAGGCAGGAGAAUCGCUUGAACCCAGGAAGCAGAGGUUGCAGUGAGCCAAGAUCACGACAUUGCACUCCAGCCCUCCAGCCCAGGCAACAAGAGUGAAACUCCGUUCCCCCCCGC